UACAGAGGUGGCAAGCGUUGUUCGGAAUUACUGGGCGUAAAGGGCGCGUAGGCGGCCUUCUAAGUCAGACGUGAAAUCCCCCGGCUUAACCUGGGAACUGCGUCUGAUACUGGAGGGCUUGAGUGCGGGAGAGGGAUGUGGAAUUCCAGGUGUAGAGGUGAAAUUCGUAGAUAUCGAGAGGAACACCGGUGGCGAAGGCGGCCUUCUGGACAGUGACUGACGCUGAGACGCGAAAGCGUGGGGAGCAAACAGG
rnacentral:rRNA from 1 species